UUGUGCUUUUCAUAGCCGGUCCUCAGGUGUUUUAAAAGAAAGUCCUUCUACUUUUCUUUGGAAAAGGAUAGAAUAAAAAGUUUAUCAUAAUACAGAGGUCUAUGCUAGAUCCUACAAUAUUAUUAAAGGAUUAUUCGAUAUCUCAGAGCUACCACCUUCCUCUCUUUUCUUGAUAGAAAUAUUUGAAUGGAACAAAUAAAGACAUUUUAGAGCUAAGAAGUCGUUUCUGUUUUGUACUUUCAGAGGUGGAAACCUGACUCUUGGUUAUACGCUGCUGGGAGCAACUUCGUUGUGAGAGAAUAACUACGACCAGGCAUGCCUUCCCAAAGUUCAAAACUGAAACAGCCCUUGCUGAAACCCUGAACUCAGAAGAAAAUGCCCAGUUACUGGAGUACAGGGCCUGCCUGGGAUGCUUGGGAUUUGAGCCACCUCCUGGAACAAUCAAAGAGGAAAAGCCAAGGAUGCACUUGGUACCUGCUGGACUGGCUUGUUUUCCUGUGCUCACCAAGAGAAUGUAUAAUUUUGCAUUUUGUAUAAGAUACCUCAUUUUUCUCUUGAAGUAUUACUCUAAGCUUGGUUCUGCCCAGCUGCAAACAGGCAGUGGCUACAAGAGCCGUUAGCUCAGACCCUGGCCAGCUCCACACUCUUCUGCAGUGGCUGUGGGAGAGGCCCAAGUAGCGUGUUUGGAAGUGGAGAGAGGAGAGAGAUGGAGCAUAGUGUCCUGUGCUUUGUGUUCACAAAGUAAAGGAGACUGAACACUC